rnacentral:rRNA from 1 species
AUUGAACGCUGGCGGCAGGCUUAACACAUGCAAGUCGAGCGGGGGAAGGUAGCUUGCUACCGGACCUAGCGGCGGACGGGUGAGUAAUGCUUAGGAAUCUGCCUAUUAGUGGGGGACAACAUCUCGAAAGGGAUGCUAAUACCGCAUACGUCCUACGGGAGAAAGCAGGGGAUCUUCGGACCUUGCGCUAAGAGAUGAGCCGAAGUCGGAGUAGCUAGUUGGUGGGGUAAAGGCCUACCAAGGCGACGAUCUGUAGCGGGUCUGAGAGGAUGAUCCGCCACACUGGGACUGAGACACGGCCCAGACUCCUACGGGAGGCAGCAGUGGGGAAUAUUGGACAAUGGGGGGAACCCUGAUCCAGCCAUGCCGCGUGUGAAGAAGGCCUUAUGGUUGUAAAGCACUUUAGGCGAGGAGGAGGCUACUCUAGUUAAUACCUAGGGAUAGUGGACGUUACUCGCAGAAUAAGCACCGGCUAACUCUGUGCCAGCCGCCGCAGUAA